CGGUAAUACGUAGGGUGCAAGCGUUAAUCGGAAUUACUGGGCGUAAAGCGUGCGCAGGCGGCUUUGCAAGACAGAUGUGAAAUCCCCGGGCUCAACCUGGGAACUGCAUUUGUGACUGCAUGGCUAGAGUGCGGCAGAGGGGGAUGGAAUUCCGCGUGUAGCAGUGAAAUGCGUAGAUAUGCGGAGGAACACCGAUGGCGAAGGCAAUCCCCUGGGCCUGCACUGACGCUCAUGCACGAAAGCGUGGGGAGCAAACAGGAUUAGAUACCCUGGUAGUCCACGCCCUAAACGAUGUCAACUGGUUGUUGGACGGCUUGCUGUUCAGUAACGAAGCUAACGCGUGAAGUUGACCGCCUGGGGAGUACGGCCGCAAGGUUGAA
rnacentral:rRNA from 1 species